rnacentral:rRNA from 1 species
UACGGGGGGGGCAAGCGUUGUUCGGAAUUACUGGGCGUAAAGGGCUCGUAGGCGGCCAACUAAGUCAGACGUGAAAUCCCUCGGCUUAACCGGGGAACUGCGUCUGAUACUGGAUGGCUCGAGUUUGGGAGAGGGAUGCGGAAUUCCAGGUGUAGCGGUGAAAUGCGUAGAUAUCGAGAGGAACACCUGCGGCGAAGGCGGGUUGCUGGGCUGACACUGACGCUGAACUGCGAAAGCUAGGGGAGCGAACGGG